rnacentral:rRNA from 1 species
AGAGUUUGAUCCUGGCUCAGGACGAACGCUGGCGGCGUGCCUAAUACAUGCAAGUCGAGCGGAUGAUGAGGAGCUUGCUCCUCUGAUUCAGCGGCGGACGGGUGAGUAACACGUGGGCAACCUGCCUGUAAGACUGGGAUAACUUCGGGAAACCGGAGCUAAUGCCGGAUAACUCUUCGAACCUCAUGGUUCGAAGAUAAAAGAUGGUUUCGGCUAUCACUUACAGAUGGGCCCGCGGCGCAUUAGCUAGUUGGUGAGGUAACGGCUCACCAAGGCGACGAUGCGUAGCCGACCUGAGAGGGUGAUCGGCCACACUGGGACUGAGACACGGCCCAGACUCCUACGGGAGGCAGCAGUAGGGAAUCUUCCGCAAUGGACGAAAGUCUGACGGAGCAACGCCGCGUGAGCGAUGAAGGCCUUCGGGUCGUAAAGCUCUGUUGUUAGGGAAGAACAAGUACCAGUUAACUGCUGGUACCUUGACGGUACCUAACGAGAAAGCCACGGCUAACUACGUGCCAGCAGCCGCGGUAAUACGUAGGUGGCAAGCGUUGUCCGGAUUUAUUGGGCGUAAAGCGCGCGCAGGCGGUUCUUUAAGUCUGAUGUGAAAGCCCCCGGGUCAACCGGG